AUGAACAGAGUGCUGCGUUUGAGUCUUAGAAGAGGGAGAGAAGCAAGGACGCGUUCGGUGGAGAUUAUGGAAGUGCAAAGGAGAAUGACUUCUGGGUGUUCUUCACAGAGGUCAUUUGGGUUGGAGAAGAAGGGAACGCUGAGAGAUUUGGCGGCGUGGGAAUGGUCAGAGCGAGAGUGAGCGAGAACGGUGUGGCCUUGGGAGUAAGGGUUUUGGCUAGGAACUGGUUGUAGUUGCUGAAGCCAAUGAUUCCGAUUUUAAUGUGGUGGGUGGUGUGGAAAUGGGUUAUGGUGAGCUUUGUUAUGUAGUUCUAGGGUUGCGCCGCGUCUAAGGCUUGGAUCCGGAGAGGUUUACGACAGAGAUAGAGGGUUUUAGGGGGUUAUGGUGGUGGCGACGAUGGUGAUGGGUUUGAGAGAAGGUGAAGAAGAGAGAGAAAGUGAGGAGGAGGAGGAGAGAGAAAGGUUUUUGAGUUGUGGUGGUGAAGAGUAGUGGUGGAGAGAGGAGAGAGAGAGCAUUGUGGUGAGAGAUGGGUUUGAGUUUUGAGGUUCUGAGAGAGAAAGAAAGAAAUUAAUAAAAUAAUGUAGUAGAUAUAUUAUUUUAUUAUAAUAUUUAUAUUAUUUUAUUGUGUUGAAAAAUAAAAUAUCUACUAAUGCUGGAUGUUUUGUAAAGUGAAUAGGUAAAAUAGAUAAAGUAAUUUUUUGUGGUGCUAAAUAGCUAAAAAAAAUAGUACCACUACUGUGGAUGCUCUUAGCCUAGUAUUAGAGUACUAGCAUUAAGUGUUUUAAAUGCUAAAUAUUUAGUAUUUAGAACAUUGUAAGUGAACCCAACAAACUAAGCCCACUUAGAAUAGUGAAUUUAGGUUAGACGGCCCAAUGUAAUUAAUUUGUUAGAGGAUGGGCUUUUGAGGUCAACUUUAAUAUUCUUGUAUGAUUUAAUCUUUAGAUGGGCAGGAAAAAGUUAGAUAAUGCAUGAAAGAAGAACAGAUUUCUGGAAUUAACACUUCCUUAGGAUUGGUCGAAGAGCAAUUGUUCAUAUAAUGUUCAAGUCAUAAUCACAGUAUAGUGCUAUACAAUGUCAGUAUUUCCUUUCAAUUUUUCGUCCCCUAAUUAGUUGGGGCUUCAAUUCCUUUCUUUAUAUAGUUAGUUGAAUUGCAUUUGAGCCCUUCACUUGUACAGUCACUGACAUUCUUUUAGAUGCUUAUCCCAUCAAGGUUUUGCUGGAAGUGGUAGAAUGUGUUGCAAGUUGUGAAGGCACUGUUUAGAGGUCAUUCUUCCAUUAAUGUAGCCACUUGAGUUGGUGUAGUGCAUUGAAUGCGGAGGUAAUGGUUAUUUUGUCUAGAUACUUCCCUUCUUCUUUACUUGCACGUUUCUACCGUUUUCUUUGCUAUUCUGUUAUUUGGUGCAAGUGGCCUGCCUGACAAUUCCCAAGGGAUGCUCGCUGCUCAGGCUCCUUAGAAGGUCGGCCUUUUCAUGGUUCCUCCUUGGAUUCUCAUCCACGUGUUGGAUCAAGAUUGAUGUGUGGGUGGGCCUUUUCCCCUCCACCGACUUGGCCCAUGGGCUCUAUUCUGUAGUCGAAUCUUACCCCUCCGACAAACACAAAUACCAAAAACAUUACUAUGUGAGACAUUUCAAAUGCUAUGACAAACACAAAUACCAAAAACAGUCUUAUAUUAAAUCAAGUUGGCUGGUUCUACCGCCAUAGUUAUCCAUUAUUUUGUGCAUUUAUAUUCAUUAUUUUGAAUUCAUAUGUUCCUAACUGUUUUACAUCUAUAUUCUGUGAAGUUCUCCAUUUACUAUUCAUCAUCUCUCCCAGUUAUUCUCCAAUUCCGUUGUUACUAUUUCCUUUUGUUGGAAGGCUGAGCCUCCUAUCUAUCUGCUUUUACUCAUUGAUUAUUUGUCCAUGUUGAUCAAUUGUUUCCCAGUUAUCUGCUUCUUCUUGUUUCUGUUUUUAUCCAGCCAGUUUGUUGCAGAUGUGUACUGUUGAGACUUGUAAGACCGUGAUCUGUGCCGUUGUCAACCCAGUCAGUCCAGUAAGUCCCCAGCUGAGUGUGUGUCCCGCAGUAAGAACUUCAUUAAACGUUUAGGGUUUUAUUUUUGGCCGAUCGUUAAGUUUGUAAGUUACAGUUUUAUAUUAAAUCAAGUUGGCCGGUUCUACCGCCAUAGUUAUCAAUUAUUUUGUGCAUUUAUAUUCAUUAUUUUGAAUUCAUAUGUUCCUAACUAUUUUACAUCUAUAUUCUGUUAAGUUCUCCAUUUACUAUUCAUCAUCUUCUCCAAUUCCGUUGUUACUAUUUCCUUUUGUUGGAAGGCUGAGCCUCCUAUCUAUCUGCUUUUAUUCUUCGAUUAUUUGUCCAUGUUGAUCAAUUGUUUCCCAGUUAUCUGCUUCCUCUUGUUUCUGUUUUUAUCCAGCCAGUUUGUUGCAGAUGUGUACUGUUGAGACUUGUAAGACCGUGAUCUGUGCCGUUGUCAACCCAGUCAGUCCAGUAAGUCCCCAGCUGAGUGUGUGUCCCGCAGUAAGUCCCGACGGAUAGGGCCAUAGGGAGUUAUCUCAGAACGGAUUGUGGCAAUAGGAGGUUGAGUUGCACAAGGUUAGGCGAUUGUCUUUUGUAUACCCUGUCUCAGAUCUAAGGAUAGAUCCAAAAGCUUGAGGUUAAAGGUAAUUAGGUUUUGAUUGUUAAACUAGGCUUUUAAUCAUGAAUAUGAGGAGAUUGUUUAGAAGUAACUCUUCUACCAGCAAUAGGUCAUCUAGUUCAAACCCCUCGGAGAUUCCCCAGUCAGAUGGUGUAAUCAACUCGGAGAACUAUGAAGUUUCAGAUCUAGAUCUCAGAUUAGGAGACUGGAACAUUCCCAAGGUUCCCACCAACAAGAUCUACAAAUCUUCUUGGACCCUUAAGAAUGCCUUUAAAACCAGCUAUUAUGUCCGAACCAUAGAAAAGGUUUACAGCAUCAACAAGGAGUACGAAACGUGCUACUUGUUACAUGAAGCAACCUUGGUUAAACACAAGAAGGAUGAUUUUCAUUUCAUCCACAUCGGAUUAGUCCAAAUAGGAGUCAAACCCUUAAUCCAGAAAGGAUUAAAUGCCUCCAUCCUCAUGGCCCUUAGAGACACUCGUCAUAUAAGAUUCAAUGACAGCCUCUUAGGAACCAUAGAAACCAGUCUUACCAAUGGUCCUGUCCAUUUUGACUGCUUUCCAAACUUUUCAGUGGCUCUUGACGACCCACAUGUUAUGAAAACCCUCACCCUCAAUAUCAAGACCUUCGGUACCCUUAUGUUACCUGGAGUCAGACAAAUAGCCUUGAUAUACAGAGUGUAUUACAAGUGCAUGAAGACGAACUUCAAUGUUCAAGCACUUGACAAAAGCCCCAAAGGAGAAACUACCCUGAUCCAGACCACAGACACCCAAGCUAACAUUCAGGUUCCCAAGACCCUGAAAUGGUCUCAGGUUACUUUCCCAGACGAUUGGAUGAUAGAAAAUGAGAAUUUCCAUCAUCAGAUCCAGAACACUGCUAGAAACCCUGAUCUAGACUAUGUCCAGCAACUAGCCGAUGGCUCGGUUAGAAUCAGCUUUGAUCAUUCUAGGUUAAGACCACCCGUAGGUUCACCAUCCUACACCCCAUCAUGUUAUGAGGAUCCCAGGUUUAGAUCUUUACCAGAUCUACAUCAAAGCCUCCUGCAGCAUCCUAUUUCCCUUAAGAAUAGACCUGCAUCUCAUGCUAGUACAUCCAAACCUCUAACACCUUUUCCCAAGUCUAGAAGAGACUUAGAUCUUGAACUCCAAGGUGUCCAAACCAAAUCCCAGGUUAGCACACCCUGUUACAUAGCCAGGCAAGAGUCAGUUGCUGAUGAGGAAGAAAAGAAGAAAGACCCAUCACCAACAGGUAGUGACAUGGUAAAUCCCUACCAGCAGGAACCCCAAGAUCCAUUCCAGCCAGAACCUGGAAUUGAUUAUGAGCUUAUGACUAUCAGGAAAGAAUUUACUCCUGAUAUGAAUGCCUUAGGUGAUGAAUUUGAGUCUGAGAAAAACAAACUCAAAAGAGAAGCCUAUAGAGCCAACCAUACCCUUGACCAAAAGAAAGAAGUUCUCAGUUGUUGGCAAACAUUCAUGAAAGAGAUAUCCAGCAAUGUCCCUUUCUUUGAAUACUUUGAGAACCAUUUCAAGUGGCACAAAAAGUCUUGUGUGCUCACUAAAACCAAUUGGACGAAACCCCCUAGCAAGGACGCUAGUGGUAAGCCCAAACCUCCAGAAGUUGUUAGAUCUCACCAUCCACCACAGGAAGCCAUAGUCUUUAACCACCAUGGAACAGAUCUAGUUGCCUCUCCCUUCAAAACCCCUACCACUCCAGAAGAAACGGUAGUGAAGAAGGUUAUAGAGCAAAACAACUACACCAACCAGUGUCUUGGUGUCAUAGGAAAACAGCUCGAUAGAAUAGAAGACAAGGUAGAAAGCAAGAUUGUUCCCCAGCCAGGAAACACUAGCAAACCUAUCAAAGCCUUAGAAAAGCCUUUAGUCAAACUCCCUACAACUAAACAACCCAGCCUUAGGUCUAAGGACAAAACAGCCUUAGAAAUCGUCAACCAAAAGCUUGAAGAACUAGUAAAGCAGGAGCCAGUCACUCCUCCACCAGUUAGUACUUCAACCAGUAUUGAUCCCCGUCUUCAAACCAACAGAUUAGUUGUUUUGGACGUCCAUACAGCUUCUAGCAGUUCUAGCACCUCCUCAGACAGUGACAAGGAGAUAGAACGCCCUGAAAACCAGUCUACCAAUAACUUAUCUUCCAUCCUUCCUAAGAGAAAGUCCAAAUACAGAGGCAAGGAAACCUCAGAACACUUUCAUAGAAACAGAACCAAAGCCAAGUAUUAUAGAAAGCAAAAGUAUAGCAAACAUGAUUUCUAUAAAGGAAAAUCCAAAUCCACAGGAGAAUCCACACCGAAAGCAUUAAGAAAAUGCUUUACUUGUGGACAGAAAGGCCAUCCAAGAAAAGAGUGUAAAACCAAGGCUGAUACUCUCGCUAGUAACCAAGCCAGAAAGGAUGAAACCUUUGACCCUAGAAUCUUUUCCAAUAUCCCUGAAACUAAGCCUCAUAAACCCAAAACUGAUUUGGAACAAAUCCACAAGGGAUUUAAGAAGGGAGUAACUACCAACGACCUUCAGAAAGAAAUCAAGGAAACUAAAUCUGAGAUCAUAACCCUCAAGAAAGAGUUAACCAUCCUCAGAAUUGAUUAUAAUCUCCCUAACCAAAGAAUGGAGAAUCCAAUUGGAAAUAUGAUUCAAAAUCAUGACCCUAUCCCACCCACGUCCUUGACAACUAUCAAUCGGAUUAACUCCCAGAAGUGGCAUUCCAAAGUCAGGAUUGUCAUAAGUCAAGAUUUUGAAUUCGAGACCAUCGCCUUAAUGGAUUCAGGUGCUGAUCUCAACUGCAUUCAGGAAGGAAUCAUUCCCUCCAAAUACUUCCAGAAAACCAGAGAAAGGUUAACUUCUGCGAGUGGAGGAAAAAUGCAAAUAAAAUAUAAGAUCCCCAAAGCCCAUGUGUGCCAGGACAACACAUGCUUCAAAACCACAUUUGUCUUAGUAAAGAACAUGGCAGAUAGAGUAAUAUUAGGAAAUCCCUUUAUGUGUCUGUUGUAUCCUUUCACCACAGAUAGUGAAGGAAUCACUACCCACCCUUUUGGCCAACCAGUCAAGUUUAAGUUCCUUAGAAGCCCUGAACCUAGAGACAUUAAUACUCUCCAGGAAGCUGCUAUCUCUAAGACCCUUAACCUCAUAAUAGCCAAAACUCACCACCUCAACCAUCUCUAGGAUGAUUUAAAAUACAAGAGAAUUGAGGAACAAUUAGCUUGUAAAUCCAUCCAAGAAGAAAUCAGGAAGUUUGAAGAAAAACUUAGACAGGAAGUCUGCUCUGAUCUACCAACAGCCUUCUGGCAUAGGAAGCGACAUGAGGUUGCUCUUCCCUAUGUCAAAGAUUUCCAUGAAAAGGAUAUCCCAACCAAAGCUCGACCUAUCCAAAUGAAUCAAGAACUCAUGGAUACUUGCAAAGCUGAAAUUGAGGAUCUCCUUAAGAAAGGAAUCAUCAGGAAUUCUAGGUCCCCCUGGUCUUGCUCAGCCUUUUAUGUCCAAAAAAACGCUGAAAUUGAGAGAGGUGUUCCUAGGUUAGUCAUCAAUUACAUGCCCCUUAACAAAGUCUUAGAGUGGAUAAGGUACCCUAUCCCGAACAAAAGAGACCUAGUUAAUAGGCUUAGUAAAGCUGUGAUUUUCAGCAAGUUUGACAUGAAGAGUGGCUUUUGGCAAAUACAAAUCGCAGAGUCCGAUAGGUAUAAGACAGCCUUCACCACACCUUUUGGCCAUUAUGAAUGGAAUGUUAUGCCUUUUGGUCUCAAAAAUGCACCUUCUGAAUUCCAAAACAUCAUGAAUGAGAUUUUCAAUCCAUUCUCAAGCCACACCAUUGUCUACAUUGAUGAUGUACUUAUCUUCUCAGAAUCCCUGGAUCAACAUAAAAAACACCUAAGAGCGUUCCUUCAUACAGUCAAGCUCAAUGGUCUUGUUGUUUCAGCUCCAAAAAUCAAAAUAUUCCAAACUAAAGUAAGGUUUUUAGGUUUUGAUAUCCACCAAGGUGUCAUCAAACCCAUUGAUAGAGCCAUUCAGUUUGCAGACAAGUUUCCUGAUGAAAUCUUAGAAAAAACCCAACUCCAAAGAUUUCUAGGAUCUCUCAAUUAUAUAGCAGAUUUCUAUCAAAAUCUCAGGCAACAAUGCAAGCCCCUCUUUGAUAGACUUCGAGCUAAUCCACCUCCUUGGACACCAAAUCAUACUGCCAUUGUCCAAGCAACCAAAAAGUAUGUCAAGACUCUCCCUUGCUUAGGAAUUCCAUCGGAUAAUUCCUUCAAGAUUGUUCAGACCGAUGCUUCUAACAUUGGUUAUGGUGGCAUUUUCCUACAGCGUGCUAGUCCCACUUCCCCCGAACAGAUUGUUCGUUUUCAUUCAGGAAUUUGGACUCCCACACAAAUUAAUUAUAGUACUAUUAAGAAAGAAAUUUUAUCCAUAGUACUAUGCAUUUCAAAAUUUCAAAGUGAUCUUUUGAAUCAAAGGUUUUUAUUACGAAUUGAUUGUAAAUCUGCAAAACAUGUUUUAGAAAAAGAUGUUCUAAACAUUGCAUCAAAACAAAUUUUUGCUAGAUGGCAGGCCAUCCUUUCAGUCUUUGAUUUUGACAUCGAAUUCAUAAAAGGAACUCAAAACAGUAUCCCUGACUUUCUAACCCGUGAAUUUUUGCAGAAUCCAAUCCAAGAUGUCCGGGAAAAAGCCCGUACAACCUCAACCCCCAAAACCAUUUAAACAACAAACUACCUCAAGCACCAGUCAGGUCAAGUACCCUCCUGGUCAACAGUUAGUUCCACUCCCUGCCUCUACUAUAGCCAACAGAUAUGUUGUCUCCUCCAUCCCAAAACCCAAUUACCAAAGACCAUCCCACGGCCACCCCAGCUAUUGCUCCGCCUUAGCCUCCCCCCCUCCUAAGCAAAUUACCCCAUAUACUGUUGAAGAUCCUUUUGGACCAAUAGUACCCCAAAAGCCUUCUUACCAGUCCCGACAUUCCACUUCUUCCUAUUUCAAGAAACCCUUUGUCCAGCACAUCUCUUAUAUUGAACCACAUCUGGUCCAUAUAACAGAUCCCUUAGCCUUGGCUUUAGAGAUCCUACCCAAUGGGUGGCACUUUCUUCCAAAAAGCCCGGGAAAAAACAUCAAAUACUACAAGAACAUCCUUAUUCAAGAAAAGUCUGUUCAAGUAGAUAAUAUCAUGAACAAGAAAAACCCUUCACAAGUUCUUUACCACAAAUUUAUCAUCAAAGGCUUUGUCAGUUGCGCUGAAUGGGGACAACACCCCUCUCUCCUCAAAACUCUCAAAGAAACCAAAGGACUCACAGAACUCCAGUAUAGCUACUAUGACUACAUGGAUGCUUUUGAGAAAAUCCUCUUCUACCAGAAUCAGGACUUUGACCACUCCUGGUUUAUGAUGUUUGACAAAGGUUUCAAAGGCCCGAUACCUACAUGGUUCCUAAAGUGGUGGGAAAUGUUUGGUUUGAUUCCCCAAAUCCUCCCAGAACCUUUACAAGAUGCCCUCAGGUACUUCAGCUCUAAAUUCCCAGUUUCAUCACAUGGCUCCCAGUUCCCGGAAAUUUUGCACAUGACAGUCAUGUACAGGAUCCACUGGAUAAGCAAGUGGGACUAUGCUCUCAAAUCCAAUCUCCUCGACAGGGAAUUUUCAAUAAAAUGGUGGGAUAGCUUCAGGUUCAACGAAGUCAUCCGAAAAAUUUAUAAAGACUUCCCUCUCCCAGUUCAGAAAUCCAUCCCUUACAAUACAAGGUCUCAAUCCAGCCUAGACUCCGUCCAAAUCUCCGGAAAAUCUAGCAAAGAACUAAGAGAUCUUGCCCAGCAAAUUCAGAGUCAAGCAGAAAAGCUAGAGUCAGAAGGAAAAAGUUCUCCUACCUCUUCUGCAGCCUAAGUCAACAAAUAUUCAUUUGACCCAUUCCAGGAUGCCCAAGAUCCUUAUGAUGGCUACAAUCUGGAUGAAGAUUAGGUUCCCCCUUAUGGACAGGAUCCUCCUAUCAGACCCGGUUACUAUGCAAGAUUCUGCACAGCUACAGUACCCGGACAAAAUACUAUUCAUCAAAACGAUGAACAGUAAAUCAGAAAAGCAAGGGGACAAAACACUAUUCUUGUACAGUGACCGUUACUGUUCACUCUACAGUGCCCCGACAGGAAUUAUGAGUUUACUAUUCACCUUCGGUUGGAAUGACAUUUUCACCCAAGUUAAAGCAGUUUACUCUCCGCAAUUUCAGCAGUCUUCAGCAGAACAAGAUGCUCCCUUCCUCUAUAUAAGUGAGCCUCCUCUUCAGUCUGAAGCAGGUUUUAGUUUUGGAAGACUUUAGUUUAGCUCUUCAUAAAACUCCUCCCUCUCUUUACCAAGUUGUAAACAGAUGGCUUUCAUCUUUUGUAUCCCAGCUUACACAGUUUGUAACCUGAACCUUUUACAUUUCCGCACACAGAUGGCUCAUCAGACCCAUCUCUUGUAACUUUCCCCCCCUAGGGUAAAAACAUAAAACCCUAGCCACGUUUUUGAAGGUUGUCCAUAUUGUAUUGUUGCUCAUACAUUGCUGUUUUGUGUGAAUCUCGUGUGAGAUCUUUGAGGAGCUUUCCUUUACACAAAACUUAGGGUUUUCAUGGUGGAGAUUAUUUCAACAUCUUGAAGAUCAUUACUGUUGCAACCAUUGGAACUUAAAAGAAAAGCAAGCGGGGAGCUUGUAGCUGAUUGAGGAAUUCAAGAAAGAAGUAGUCCGUGGAUUCGGAGCCUGCGCAUGGUCGUGUCAGGAAGUUCUACUGGUGGGUAGCAUUAGGAAGUCGAGCGGGGAGCUUGUAGUCCUUUUGUACGAACUUCAAUUCUUUCAUAGUGAAUUCAGGUUAGCCUUGAGGAUCGGUGGGUCAAAUCCUCCCCAGGUUUUUACCGUGUGGUUUCCUGGGUGAUCAUAUCUUGUGUUAUUUAUUUUCCGCUGCUUUAUAUCUUGAUAUGAUUGUUUAGAUUGUUUUAACCUAGAAUUGCUUAAUUUGACUAAGUAACAACUUGGCUAAUUAAUCUAGGCUACGCAAUCUGUGUGUUUAAGGGGUCUAAAUUUCCAUCAGUGUCGAUUGUGGUUGAGAUAUGUAUUCCGACAAUGGGUUUGUAGGUUGUGAGUUUUGUUGAUCUGGGUUUGUGGGUUUGUGGUGUAUGUUGAUUUUUGGGUUUGUGGGUUUGUGAUGUAUGUUCUCUGAAUCCAAAUCAACUAUUUGUGGGUUUGUUGGAAUUUGUACGCUUUCUCUUGAGAUCUUAUUCAGGCUUCGCUACUUGUCAUUACUGUAACAGAUAAUGAUGAUGAUUGCAUGGAUUGGGUUGAGUUUGAAGUGAAAACCCAGUUCUCUAUCUCUAAACCCAUGGAUGAAAACCCAAACUUUCUCUCUCUAAAUUGAUGGCCAAAACCAGCGGUGGCUUUCUCUCAAAACCCACAGGCUAACUAAAUUGGUGGCUUCAGAUCUGGGGUUAAAGGUGUGUGGGUUGUUGAAUUUAAAGUUGUGUGGUUAUUUGUGGUUUGGUUGCGCAUGGAGGCCAAAAAUCUGGAUUUGAGUUUUGUGUUUUUUGUGUUUGGUUUCAAAGAUAACCAUAAACAACUUGUACUAUUAUACCUGUGUUUUGGCAAGAUAAAAACAGAGACGUGCUCUAUUGUACAAAAGAAAAACAACUUUUGAAAUGUGUUCCCUCCAAAAUAAUAAAAAAUCAAAACCUUUGAAUGUGUUCUCUUCAAAUAAUCAAACAUAGACUCUUUGGUUUUCACUUUUCCCUCCUAAAAAAGCUGUGACUCUCUCUCUCUUCUUUCUUUUUGUGUUUUAUUUUUAUUUUAUUUUUUGUUUUCAAGUAGAGACUUUGUCUGGUUAAGUUAUCUAGUUUAAAUGUUUAACCACAAUGAAGAUUGAUAUUGGGUUAAGUUAUGACUUAUGAGCUGUCACGUUUUUUUACCAUAGUCUAUUUAAAAAAAAAUCUGGUCUCUUAACUGGACACUCUUCAUUUCAAACAGAAAUGGAGAGGAUCCAAAUCCUCCCCAAUAA
rnacentral:sRNA from 1 species